UUGCCUCAGUAACGGCGAGUGAAGCGGCAACAGCUCAAAUUUGAAAUCUGGCUCUUUCAGGGUCCGAGUUGUAAUUUGUAGAAGAUGCUUCGGGUGUGGUUCCGGUCUAAGUUCCUUGGAACAGGACGUCAUAGAGGGUGAGAAUCCCGUAUGUGACCGGCUACCUUCGCUCAUGUGAAGCUCUUUCGACGAGUCGAGUUGUUUGGGAAUGCAGCUCAAAAUGGGUGGUAAAUUUCAUCUAAAGCUAAAUAUUGGCCAGAGACCGAUAGCGCACAAGUAGAGUGAUCGAAAGAUGAAAAGCACUUUGGAAAGAGAGUUAAAUAGUACGUGAAAUUGUUGAAAGGGAAGCGCUUGCAAUCAGACUUGCACGCAGUUGAUCAUCCGGUGUUCUCACCGGUGCACUCUGCUGCGUUCAGGCCAGCAUCGGUUCUGGUGGUUGGAUAAAGGCCUUGGGAAUGUAGCUCCUUUCGGGGAGUGUUAUAGCCCUCGGUGCAAUGCAGCCUACCGGGACCGAGGACCGCGCUUCGGCUAGGAUGCUGGCGUAAUGGUUGUAAGCGACCCGUCUUGAAACACGGACCAAGGAGUCUAACAUCUAUGCGAGUGUUUGGGUGUCAAACCCAUACGCGUAAUGAAAGUGAACGGAGGUGAGAACCCUUAAGGGUGCAUCAUCGACCGAUCCUGAUGUCUUCGGAUGGAUUUGAGUAAGAGCAUAGCUGUUGGGACCCGAAAGAUGGUGAACUAUGCGUGAAUAGGGUGAAGCCAGAGGAAACUCUGGUGGAGGCUCGCAGCGGUUCUGACGUGCAAAUCGAUCGUCAAAUUGCGCAAUAGGGGCGAA
rnacentral:rRNA from 1 species